rnacentral:rRNA from 1 species
UUACCCGCUGAAUUUAAGCAUAUUAGUAAGCGGAGGAGAAGAAACUAACAAGGAUUCCCUUAGUAACGGCGAGUGAAGCGGGAUGAGCCCAGCACCGAAUCUCCCUGGCGCAUGCCAGUGGCGACCUGUGGUGUUUGGGAGUGUCGUUGGUGCGCUGCCACAGUCUGCUCAAGUCCUCUUGAUUGGGGCUUAGGUCCAGAGAUGGGUGCAAGGCCCGUAGAGCAGACGGUGGCGCGCCUCUGGCGCUCUCUGGAGUCGGGUUGUUUGAGAAUGCAGCCCAAAGUGGGUGGUAAACUCCAUCUAAGGCUAAAUAUUUGCACAAGACCGAUAGCAAACAAGUACCGUGAGGGAAAGUUGAAAAGCACUUUGAAGAGGAGUUGGAAAGUACGUGAAACCGUUUACAGGUAAACGGACGGAUCUCAUUAUUCGGCGACAGGGAUUCAGGCCUGCGCUGGGCGUGGUGCGGCGUUCUUGCUGUCUGUGUGCUGUUGAUCGGCGCUAGCAGCUCCGUCGUGGCCGCGCCCGGCCGGGACGCACUUCUCUUGUCUUUGCCGAGCGCUACGACCGCCUGCGCGGCAGUCAGAAGGCCUCCUGAGCAAGGUAGCUUGGCCGGCGAUGCAAGUUGCUCGCCAAGAACUUAUAGGUUCGCGGGGGUGUCGACUGACCUGUUGCAAGGGUGAGGACUGCAAUGUCGUGCGGUGCCGGCUCGACGACGCCGCUGCGCGGAGACUGACGAGGACUGCUUGCAGUGCUAGUUGACUUCGUGUGGCGGGCCAGUUGUCCUGUUCGGCCUGCGCCUUUGGGUCAGUGGCGUGCAAUGGGCUCUCUGUCCGACCCGUCUUGAAACACGGACCAAGGAGUCUAGCUCAUGCGCAAGUCAAAGGGUCGCUACGUUUACUACGAAACCCCAAGGCGUAACGAAAGUGAAAACAACACUGUUGUCGGUGCGAUCGUGCCCUGAACAAGCACGCGCAGCACCAGCCCGUUCCCAAUGGGCCCGCGGUCCGGGGCGGAAGCAAGAGC